CUUCAGCAUUAUCAGUCAGGACCGUUGCGGCCAAUAUUGUUCGAUCAGUGACUGUCUGUGUUGGAUUGGCAGUCACCAUAAUGGCCAUUAACAAGAUCAAGAGAUGGAUAUCCUCAAAAGAAGAUGACUCAACUCAGGAAGUCAUUGUUGAAGUCGCUGACACUUCAGUGAAUGUUUCAGCAGAGGUGAGGCCAGAACCACUGGGCCCUCCUGAGGUAAAAAAACACUUUACAGAAAUGUGCAGAAACCAGGACAGCAACACUGAAUGGACUUCACCCAAUUGACCAGCAUUUUGUAUGAUAAGACUGUAAUACCAUGGGACAAAUAUUGAACACAUUUAAUUUAGUAUUAUCUGCAGUGUAUAUUUGCUUAAAGGGAGAGCCGUGUCGGGUCGACUUCAACAACAACUAAGAGCAUUGUAGCAUGAGGCUAAACUCUGCAUGUUUUGAUGUGAAGCACACCCUACACAUGAACAUAUACUCUGUGAGUACAAUGUCUUGGUCUGUGCUUAUCUACAAAUUCUGUGGUUCAUUCUGUUGGUCGUGGCAACGUCAUAUCGCUAAGUCUCAGUUUAAUGCAACUAGUGUUUUGGAAUAUUGAACAUCACACUUCGGUUGUGUUUUUGGAAUGGUGAAUGUCAAACUUAUUAAGUUCUUGUUUUUACCCCCAAAAAUGAAUAAAUGAUGAAUUGAA